CCGCCGGUUCUCAGGGUCCGUGAGCUCCUCGGCGUACUCGGAGAACAUUCGCCGGAACUCCGGGUCCUGGAAGGCGGA
ensembl:miRNA